rnacentral:rRNA from 1 species
CCUAACACAUGCAAGUCGAACGGUAGCACAGAGAGCUUGCUCUUGGGUGACGAGUGGCGGACGGGUGAGUAAUGUCUGGGAAACUGCCCGAUGGAGGGGGAUAACUACUGGAAACGGUAGCUAAUACCGCAUAACGUCGCAAGACCAAAGUGGGGGACCUUCGGGCCUCACACCAUCGGAUGUGCCCAGAUGGGAUUAGCUAGUAGGUGGGGUAAUGGCUCACCUAGGCGACGAUCCCUAGCUGGUCUGAGAGGAUGACCAGCCACACUGGAACUGAGACACGGUCCAGACUCCUACGGGAGGCAGCAGUGGGGAAUAUUGCACAAUGGGCGCAAGCCUGAUGCAGCCAUGCCGCGUGUAUGAAGAAGGCCUUCGGGUUGUAAAGUACUUUCAGCGAGGAGGAAGGCAUUGUGGUUAAUAACCGCAGUGAUUGACGUUACUCGCAGAAGAAGCACCGGCUAACUCCGUGCCAGCAGCCGCGGUAAUACGGAGGGUGCAAGCGUUAAUCGGAAUUACUGGGCGUAAAGCGCACGCAGGCGGUCUGUCAAGUCGGAUGUGAAAUCCCCGGGCUCAACCUGGGAACUGCAUUCGAAACUGGCAGGCUAGAGUCUUGUAGAGGGGGGUAGAAUUCCAGGUGUAGCGGUGAAAUGCGUAGAGAUCUGGAGGAAUACCGGUGGCGAAGGCGGCCCCCUGGACAAAGACUGACGCUCAGGUGCGAAAGCGUGGGGAGCAAACAGGAUUAGA